GAUGAACGCUAGCUACAGGCUUAACACAUGCAAGUCGAGGGGUAACGAGAGGAAAGCUUGCUUUCCUUGUCGACGACCGGCGCACGGGUGAGUAACGCGUAUCCAACCUGCCCCCAACUAGGGAAUAACCUUGCGAAAGUAAGACUAAUACCCUAUAAUUUCCUCAGAUGACAUCUGACGAGGAAUAAAGAUUUAUCGGUUGUGGAUGGGGAUGCGUCUGAUUAGCUUGUUGGCGGGGUAACGGCCCACCAAGGCAACGAUCAGUAGGGGUUCUGAGAGGAAGGUCCCCCACAGUGGAACUGGGACACGGUCCAAACUCCUACGGGAGGCAGCAGUGAGGAAUAUUGGUCAAUGGGCGGAAGCUUGAACCAGCCAAGUAGCGUGCAGGAUGACGGCCCUAUGGGUUGUAAACUGCUUUUAUACAGGAAUAAAGUUAGCCACGUGUGGUUAUUUGUAGGUACUGUAUGAAUAAGGACCGGCUAAUUCCGUGCCAGCCGCCGCCGUAA
rnacentral:rRNA from 1 species